UGUAUUUUGGUGAGGUUUACUUUCUGGAGCUUAGCAACAUAAAUUUGUUGUCACCGAACUAUUAAACACAGCGGACACAUGUUGGCGGAGUUUGAAGGAAAGGUGCAUGAAACUGAUCAUAGGAUAGCCCAUGUAAUAAUAAGGGAAAUGGGCCCGCUGUUGGACUUUAAUAUCCCCCGACGACACUCAGCUGUCAAUGGCCUCCACCAUCGCCAGGAUGCAUGGCGGCUUCUGCCAGAAACACUGGAUUUAUCCUCCUUCACAUGGAGCCAGUGAGAGGAAAUGCCUACAGUCGGUGGGAAUCCAUAAAGGAGAGACGGGAGAGAGAAGAAAAGAAGAUUAAGGGAACGAGAACGACUGGAAACGGAAAAAGUCAUGGGAGGAAGGCAUGGGAUGAGAUACAGGCGAGCUACAGUUGUGGCAGCGCUGCACACCCUACAGAUGACCUCUUUUCUCAUUAAGAGUCCGAGCCUCACCAUUUAUCUUCCCCAUCAGAGCUGCUUCACAUGGACCGCACCGACAGACACUGCUUCGUAAUUAUGCCAAAUAUAAAUUUACAAUGAAAAAUGAAUACAGCUGCAUUAACGCUGUCCUUACUCCUGUGAAUCACACCUGCUAAAGACAAGCCGCUUUCAGAGAGAGUUGCUGCUUUAUGCCCAGAUCUUUCACAGCAUCCCUCAGACUGAGGCCCAGAGGCUGCGGUAGACCCCGUUCCUCACAGGUUCAGGAGUUCACAGCGGGGUCUGUAGGAUGAGGAGCAGGCCGUCUGCCAGUCCUGGCAUGUGCGGCUCUAAUUGCACAUCAUUGGCAUAAUGCUAUGCAGAAGCAUGCUGACUCGAGAUGUAAAGGAAGUACAUGAACUCUCAAACAAACAAUUAGCAGGGUUUUGCAUCCAUGCUAAAUAUGCAUUGAAUAUAAUUCACAGGUGCAUAUUCAUAUUUAUGUUUGACAUUGGCGGAAUAAUACAUUUUAUGCAAAGCAGGUGGGAUUCUUCAACUAUGGGCUCCCUUAAAACACACACUACUUUAUUUGAUUGUACUACUAAUAAUUUCCAAUAGUGUAUUUAUGUACAUCACAGGAGAAUUGUGAUGGAAAUGAUAUUUGUUCAUGAAUGACACAUCUCAAAAGACCAUUCAUUUCAAAGACUAAUUCAUAGUUAACAUUUUAUGCAUUCUUAUACAAUACACAAUCACAGCCAGUGUUAUUGCUGUGUUAUAUAGUUUUUAUUAUUUUGAAUCAGUAUUUAUUUGAAUAUUUUCCACUUUAGUUUAAUUUGUAAGUUGUAGUAAUUUUGUGUGUUUUUCAUAUAUUAUAUACAUAUUUAUUUUAUCUCAGUUUUGCUUUUAGCUACUUUAAUGUGACCUUUAUGUUUUAAUGUGACCUUUAUAUAACUGAAAAAAAAUAUAUAUCAAGUUUUUUUUUUUUGGAUUCAGUCAAAAUCAUCCCCUGGGCCUGCGGUUGAAGAAAUUGCUAAAACACAUCCAGGUCACGACAAAGUGAUUUACAUAGCAUCCCCUUGGGGUCCACGGAGCCCUGUUGGAAAACCCCUGUUUUAGAUCAUAUGGAGCUGUACAGUUAUUCAUGUGCAGACAAGAGCAGAAAUGCCGUCAGAACUCUUGCUGGAAGGAAUAAGAUGAAGACAAUGUGAGCAGAUCGUCUGUGAUCCAGGGCAAGAAUGAACCACAUACAACAACUACAAGAGCCAGCUAGUUCAGCUGUGUGAAAAUGUCACCUGUGCUCUCUCUUUCUCUCUCUCUCUCAUUCCCCAUUUUCCCGGGCUGAGAUGAUGCGGCUUUCCUCAGCAUCCGCACACAUCGCCCUGCAUCCCUGCAGGAAAAUGCCCUUUAGAAUAAACGCAUCCUUUACGCUGCUAUUUGAAGCUCGCUUUCCUGAGAGAUUCCUUUCCAGCGCAAUUCUCCAGAAAUGUAGCUCCUUCACCCCGGUAAAUAGCACUACACUCGAGCUCUCUGGCAGCAGUCCAUGUUUAUUAGGAAUUUUGACUUUUGGGGUGUUUUCUCUGCCUUUUUUUCCCCUUUUUGAAAAGCAGGCCUUGUUUUGAAAAUCAACAAACAGAAACCUGGCAAUGUGUGCCUCAUUUUAUCAAAUGGUACACAGCUUGGUAAUGGUCUCCCCUGACGAUUCCAACUAAUCUAUGCUGAUGACCACAGGGACGGCGAUGAUUGUCAUGUUAGUAGAAAAAAAAAAAUCAGAACAAUCAUGUUGCGUCAGUUCUACCAUUAAAAGACUUGCUUCUCUGCAAAUUUCUGCACGCAGUAAUUAAUACUCUGGGGCUUGCCUUCACCAGACUGGUACUCCAGGCAACGAGAUGCCACUCACCUGAUAAUUAUUUUAGGAAACCAUGCACAACUGAAUGUGAUUGACAAAUGCAACAUUGCUGUAAUUGCCUGAAGCAUACAGCGAGGGAGAGAGAGAGCGGGGAAGAGAGAGAGAGAGGAACAAGGAGUUAAUGCCGCACUGUCAAAUGAAAGGAAAACUAAAGAGGAAGUCCUACAGAGAUCUUGUCAUUCUCUACAACAAAGGUGGACACUUACAGGUGUAAGGUCAGACUUAUUUGCUGAGUGCCACUUCUGAUCGCAUCGGGCUCUGCUAGCAGACGUGCAUGGGAACCGGUGUUAGAAAUUACUUUGAAACUGCAGGCUGCCAAGCUACAAGGUGCUCUAUAUUAUUUUAAGUAGUUCAACUACAGUCAAGGUAUUGCUUUGAAAAAGUAGGUUGCACUACAAGUUUGUUAAAAGAAGUAGCUGUUAAGGGGUAAUAUGUUUUGUAACCUUCUAAUGCAUGUUGGACAGAUCUUUAAAUGGCAUCCA